GGGAGUAGGGUGUAGGGUGUAGAGAGUGAGGUGUAGAGAAUAGGGUGCAGGGAGUGGGGAGUAGAGAGUAAGGGUGUAUGGAGUAGGGUGUAGGGAGUAGGGUGUGUGGUGUAGGGAAUAAAGAGUAGGGGAGUAUGGAGUAGGGAGUAGAGCGUAAGGGAGUAUGGAGUAGGGGAGUAUGGAGUAGGGUGUAGGGAGUAUGGUGUAUGGUGUAGUGUGUAUGGUGUAUGGUGUAGGGAGUAUGGUGUAGGGUGUAGGGAGUAUGGUGUAGGGUAUAGGGUGUAGGGAGUAUGGUGUAGGGUGUAGGGAGUAUGGUGUAGGGUGUAUGGUGUAGGGUGUAGGGAGUAUGGUGUAUGGUGUAGUGUGUAUUGUGUAUGGUGUAGGGAGUAUGGGAUAUGGUGUAUGGUGUAUGGUGUAGGGAGUAGGGUGUAGGGAGUAUGGUGUAGGGAGUAUGGUGUAGGGUGUAGGGAGUAUGGUGUAG
ensembl:lncRNA